GACGUAGGGCGCGAGCGUUGUCCGGAAUUAUUGGGCGUAAAGAGCUCGUAGGCGGCUUGUUGCGUCGACUGUGAAAGCCCGUGGCUUAACCGCGUGGUCUGCAGUCGAUACGGGCAGGCUAGAGUUCGGUAGGGGAGACUGGAAUUCCUGGUGUAGCGGUGAAAUGCGCAGAUAUCAGGAGGAACACCGGUGGCGAAGGCGGGUCUCUGGGCCGAUACUGACGCUGAGGAGCGAAAGCGUGGGGAGCAAACAGG
rnacentral:rRNA from 1 species